ACUCUACUCGCCUUUUUUGGAAAAAAAGUACCUGGUACCUGCUAACAGGUACUUUUUUUAGUACCUCCUCAGUCGAGGUUCCAAGCGAGCUGAGGUGAGCCGAAACGGUGACGCGAAAACCUGCAGGCUGGUGACUG